AAUUCUCAACUGCUUUGGAUUUUGUUUCAAAGUGAAGUUGGAUUUGGAGUUGUUAUUGUCGGCAUUGCUCGACUGCUCCCAAAAGCAUUGAAAGCCUGUUCUGAUAGAUCUUGGCAUAUUUGACGUGAUAAUUGUCUACGUCGCAAGCCUUUUGAAGGGCAGGAGUGAGACUUGUUGCAAGCUUGCUUCUGUUGGGGGAACAGCUCUAUUAUAUUGAUCCACACUUAGGUCUUUAUUGAUCGUAUGUUGUGUUUCAUUGACCC
rnacentral:misc_RNA from 1 species